ACGAACGCUGGCGGCGUGCUUAACACAUGCAAGUCGAACGCUGAAGCUCAGCUUUUGUUGGGUGGAUGAGUGGCGAACGGGUGAGUAACACGUGAGUAACCUGCCCUCUUCUUUGGGAUAACGCCCUGAAACGGGUGCUAAUACUGGAUAUUCACUGAUCUUCGCAUGGGGGUUGGUGGAAAGGUUUGUUCUGGUGGGGGAUGGGCUCGCGGCCUAUCAGCUUGUUGGUGGGGUGAUGGCCUACCAAGGCUUUGACGGGUAGCCGGCCUGAGAGGGUGACCGGUCACAUUGGGACUGAGAUACGGCCCAGAAUCCUACGGGAGGCAGCAGUGGGGAAUAUUGCACAAUGGGCGAAAGCCUGAUGCAGCGACGCCGCGUGAGGGAUGGAGGCCUUCGGGUUGUAAACCUCUUUCGCUCAUGGUCAAGCCGCGACGUGGGUUGUGGUGAGGGUAGUGGGUAAAGAAGCGCCGGCUAACUACGUG
rnacentral:rRNA from 1 species